CAGCCGCCGCGGGAAAACGGAGGGGGCUAGCGUUGUUCGGAAUUACUGGGCGUAAAGCGCACGUAGGCGGCUAUUCAAGUCAGGGGUGAAAGCCCGGGGCUCAACCUCGGAACUGCCUUUGAAACUAGAUAGCUAGAAUCUUGGAGAGGCGAGUGGAAUUCCGAGUGUAGUGGUGAAAUUCGUAGAUAUUCGGAAGAACACCAGUAGCGAAGGCGGCCAUCUGGGACAACACUGACGCUGAGGCACGAAAGCGUGGGGAGCAAACAGGAUUAGAUACCCCAGUAGUCCCUGUCUCUUAUAA
rnacentral:rRNA from 1 species